GUAGAUUAAACAUUCCUGCAGAUGCAAGGAAAGCUAAAACAUCCACUGAUGUCACGCUUGAUUUUAAAAUGGAGAAGCUAGACAAAACUAUAAGAGUAAAGUCAUACUGUGUAACAUAGAGACAGUUUAAAGAUGGUGAUGGAAUCCUAGAGCAAAUGUAUCCUAUUUAUCACGUUGUGGACAAAAAAGAAAAAGAAAAAAAAAGAAGAAGGAAACUAAGAUGGCUAAACAGUAGGAAAAGUAUUUAUAAGACUAAAAACUACUAAAAGCAAGAAUAUAUCCUUCAGAUAGAUUGGGCCUGACAAAUGAGAAAAAUAGAAAGGCUUGUAGACCCAGACAGGCAGAUAAUAGGGAAAAAUGCAGUAAGAAAGGCCAAAAGAAUUGGAGAAAUUUACAGAAAGCACCAAAAAAUCCCUAGUAAAUCCUGUUUCAAACACAGGAGAAGCAGGAAGCUUUCUGGAGUCUGUAGGACCAGUAAGCAAUAACUAUGCAGAAGGAGUGCUUAGAAAAGUGAGAUGUUUCAUGGUAUUUGCUGUGGAGGAUCGCGGGGGACUCCCACAGUGGGAUGUCUUUCCUGGCAGGUUGAUGAAAUAGGGCAAGUGUUACCUCCAGUGUGCACUCCUGGCUUAUGUCCUGGUACCAGAAGACAAACACCAGUUCAACAUCCUUUUUAAGUGUUUCCUGUGAGGUUCCCAGAACCCCACAGUGGUAAACCUAGUAUUUGCAAUAGAUACGUUAGCAAACACUGUAAUAAUAAUGGAAUGAGUGGGAACAUCAGUAAAUAUCAGUGACAAAGAGCUAUCUGGGGGUUUGCAAUGAAAAUCAUGAUAUACAAAUCUGUCGGGUAGAACUGGAGGAGUGGAUGGGCCAGGCUGGUGAUAUAACUUACAUGGAUUUUCAAAAAGCAUCAAAAGGCUGUUAAGGAAUGCAGGUGCCAUGAAACGACAGCGAGGUGCUUCAGAAAAUUGAUUAAAAUUGGGAAGUGGGAGGUAGAAAUAAAAGGUUGAAGUUGUCACUGUGGAGGAAAGUCACAAGUCUGGUUCUGUAGGGAUCUGUGCUGUGGUGUUUGGUAGGCUCACAAGCAAGGUGAAGCGGGGCUGCAGUCAGAUGGUGAAGUUGGAUGAUGAGCUCAAUUUUUUCAGGGAAAUGAAUCAGUUUGCAAAAUGACCAUCUUAAAUUGAGAGCCAGGUUAGGGAAGUGCAGAUGAAAUUCAGUGCAGAUAAACAGAAAGGAAUGUAAAUAGGAAGAAAGAGUCCCAAUAUUUUUAUCACUCAGGAACAGUGGGGUUUUUUUUUCCUGUUUUUUUGUUUGUUUGUUUGUUUGUUUGUUUUGUUGGAUAUUGGUAGAUAAGUUGAAGUGAUUGUCAGUUCAGGGCUUUCAGCAGUGGUUAAAAACUCAUCAAAUUGAAUGCUAGGAACAGAAUAGACUAAGUGGAAACCAUAAUUAUGCCACUUUCUAAAUCCAAGCAGUACAUCCAUUGUGAGUAGCACGUGGUGCCCUGCCCUCUGCCCCUCAGGAAACACAUCAGAUGUGAAGGAGGAACAGAGCAGGAUGACCAAAGCAAUGUGGGUGCAGAGUGGCUUUUGUGACAGGGACACCUGAGUAGAUUAAGACUUGUCACCUUCGAAAAGAGAUAGCUGAAAGGAAGAGAUUUGAUACAAGUCUAUAAAACCAUAUGUAGCCUGGAGAAAGUGACUGAAAAAAAAAUGUUCUGCAGACUGUUUUGGAGGCAAAGAUCUGAUAGGAAUCAUGUCAAAUAAAGCUAGAAGGAAAUGAAUUCAAAAGAAAUUAAAUAUGCCAAGGUUGGGGACUUCCUUGACACAAAAAAAGUUGUGUGGCAUGUUACUGUUAUAGCAAGAGUCACACAGCUUCAGAAAGCACUCCAAAAAUUCAAGGAUGAAAAAGAAUACAUCAGGAAUGAUUAAAACACAAAGAUGUCAGCUUUGGGUCUGUUAAGUGUCCGAGGUAAAAAUUAGCCUGGAAGAAUAUUCUUCCACAAGCUCAUCCUGGUUUUAUGCAGUCUUACAGACGUCUGUGCUGCUUGCUGUACAAUGAGAUGCAGGUGCAGGGCGAGGCAGCUUUGUUUUAAGUAGUAGUGUUAAGUGUGGCUGGAGAAACAUCUCAAGAGUUUUCAUUUUGGAUCUGCAGCCAAAUGGGAAGUAGAAUGAAGUUGAAAUAUUCUUUACCUUCUGCAGUACUUAAACAGGUCAGUCCCUUAAUGACAUUUUGUUUCCAUUUUCUUUUACUUCUUCUGGUACUUAAAUAUUAAGUGCUGUGUAAUAUGCUAUCCAUUAUUUAUGGCAAGUGUGUGAGUUGUACAUUCCCUAAGACAUCAAGCCAUCACUAUUGCCCUCAGGAUGGGUAAAUCAGAUUGCUAGAGAAGAAAAUAGGCUAGUAACAUUCAGUGUAAGCCUUUUUCCUCCUAAAAUCUGAGAUAUAGUGAAUGAAAGUGUGUUGUGCCAGUGGAAGGAGGGGUUGCACAGAGAUCCCAUUAGGAUGACAUGCUGGAAGGUAAGAAGGUGCCUGGAGAGCUUCCUUCUGAUCUGGCCCUGUCCUUUGGGCAGUGGUGACCAGAGUCCUGCCUUGGUAUUGCCCACCUUCUCCUUGUAUUCCCUUCCUUGGAAUAGCACAGCGUUGCUGUCCAUGUUGUAAUGGUAUGCAGUUUUAAUUUGUUGGGCCAAAAGUGCUUGUUGCUCUGUCUCUGCUAAGCUCAGCCCUCUGCACCAAUGAAUUUGAGCCUCUGGCUUUUGACUGCCUAGCUUGUGAAGGGCUUUACAGAAUAUGACCGCUGAGGAGAGGCUGAAGGAACUGGGGCUGUUUAGUCUGGGGAAAAGGAGGCUGAGGGGAGACUUUAUUGCUUUCUUCCAGUAUCUGAAAGGUGUUUACAGUGAGAAUGGGGUUGAUCUCUUCUCACUGGUGACAGGUGACAGGAUGAGAGGAAAUGGCCUCAAGUUGCACCAGGAUAAGUUUAGGUUGAAUAUGAGGAAGCACUUAUUUACAGAAAGGAUUGUUAAGCACUGGAAUAGGCUCCCCAAGGAGAUGGCUGAGUCACUGGGUGUGUUUAAAACCUGUCUGGAUGCGGUGCUCAAGGACACGAGUUAGCUGAGGGUUGUUACGGUAGUAUGGUUAGGUUGUGGGUUGGAUCUUUAAGGUCUUUUCCAUCCUGAGCGAUUCUAUGAACAUCAGGUGGCUUACAGGACCAGGUGUGAUUGUGUGCCCAGCAUGGGUACGCUGAGCUUUCUAGGGUGUUGUUUUGCUUUGUUUUUUGUGGUGGCUCCUCUGAGAGGUGUCUGUAGUGCCAUAGGAUCCAGGGUCAUGUGAGAAUUAGGGUUUCUCCCAAAUACAAAGCAGCCCCUCUCCACAGGUUAGCCUGGGAGGGGAUCCAGAAGUUGUUUGCUUUGUCCUCCUCACUACAUAUGCAGAGAUAUGUCUCUAUGAAGACAGGCACAGAAGUGAGCACACAGCUGAAAAGAGAUCCAGAAAUGAAAUAAGGGGCAGAUGAGGAUGUGUUUUUAAGAGAAUCAGGAUGCAAAAUCAAGGAGGGAAACUUCAGGGAUACAGUCUUAAGAUGCAUUAUCAGAGAGAACAGCGCUUUGCAAACAGUGCUUGUAAAAAUGCAACAGGGCAAGGGGAAUGUGCCCUAGGAAUUAGUGGCAGAUAUGGGACAAGGGGGGUCUCAUCAGUCUUUGUUUUCUGGAUUAGUUCUUCUAGCAAAAAAAACCCAAACAAACAAACAAAACAAUCAAAGGGAUCUGUAGGUGUUGAGAUCUUCCGUGGGGUUUUGUUUGUAAAUUAAAAAAACAAAAACAAACAAAAAAACUAUCAGAAGAUAAAUGCUUCCUGAAAAAAAGAAAGGAAAACCAAUCCCCAGAAAGCCAUCCUCUGCACACUGAGCAGGUAUGUUCUGCUCCUCCCCCUGCCCCCAAAGGGCAGGCUGGCUCACUGCCCACUGCUGCAGGUGAGGAUGUGUGAGCACUGCCUGGCUGCUCUGCUCCUUUUCUUCUACUGCCCGGGUCCCUGCAGCUGCUGCUGCACGAGAAUAAGGAGGAUGUGGCUUUGUGUGAGACACAGUAAGGUCUUUAGGAGACUCUCUGCAGAGUCCUGCAGUAAUGCAUAUCUUGAACAGGCAGUGCUGGUGGGCUUGGCGCUUCGCUCCUUUGUUUGCCCGUUCAGGGAAAAUAUUGCAGUUACCUCCAUAGUUAGUUUUAAAAAUGAUAGAAGGCAAAACGUUACCUGGCAGGGUGACAGGGGAACUGUUGUGCACAGAGAGAGCGUCCGUGUUUUAUCCAGCCCUGUUCAGUUAUUCCUGAACAACUGGAGCACAUUGCUGGACUGUUCCCUGCAGAGAUUCCUGCAUCUGACAAUCUGCUUUCGGCAGGAUUUAGCACUGAAAAUCAGCAAGUGUGAGUGAGGCACAAAGUGCUCAGCCUGACGGAGGCCUGAGGAUAACCAAUGCAUGGAAGUGUGGGGAGUUUCUACAUUUCUGUGAGAAUGCUGCAUUCUGUAUAGUCUUUUUCAGUAUCUUCAAUUCAUUGUUCUGGAUGUUGUUUUAGUGACCUGGAGCUUGCCAAGGUGGAAAUUGUUAGAGAGAAUAAACCCGUCUGUGAGUUAGUGACAGAAAUACCACUGCCUUUUAUCUGCUUUUCCUGCUUUGAUUUCUCAAGAGCUUACCUGAGCUGUCUCUUGUCCAAGGGCUGCUUUUAUACCUGUGCCAAUAAGUGGUGGAGCGCUCACGAAGGGCACAGCACAGUGGCAGCCUGGGAGGGAGGCAGUGAAAGGCUGCCUUUAACACUGCUGUACCUAGAAAACCCAAUUUUCAGCUGUAUGUGUCAGUGUGGCAACUCCUCUUGUUCCCAACCGGCAUGCUACAGGGUAAUUGAGAAUACGGCUUAUUGCAGGCUUUUGUUUCUCUUCCAAGAUUCAUUCCUUUUCAUUCCUUUCUGUGCUGAGUAUAAUAAACAGAACAGGAGCUGUAGGCAGUUUGGCAGGGGAAACAAGGUUCAAUAACUUAAAAAAAAAAAAAAAAAAAAGGCAGAAAAACAAACAAAAAGCAGGUCAGUAGAGAGCUGGAAAGAUGGAAAGAUGCCUUUGACAGAAGAAAAGUAGAGGAAGCAAAAGAAAUAUCCAAGCUGUUUCCUCUGCCCUUCUCAGUCAAUGUGAAUGGAAGCUGUGAAUGAAGGAAUGCUGAGACUUCUCUGUUUCCCAGCCAGGCAGGUGGGGCCUUCCUGGUGCUCCCUUACUGCUAUCAGAUCCGCUGACAUCAGCAUGGCCCACAGCAGAGUUGCUUGAUGGCCCUCAUCACAGGAGUGAGGCUGUUCGCCACGUGUGGGGUUACAGUGAUCCCAGGUGGCCCAAUGAAUCUGAGUAACUGGGCUCUUAAUUCCAUAAGCAGCCUGCAGAGAGAUCUCUUUUCUCUGGUGGGCUGGGUUUGGUGAAAAAUUGAAAGAAAAAUGACUGAAGGAAUGAAAGAAAUGUAUUCUGGUUCUGUUUUAUUUGUGUGUGUCAAGCUUUUGUGUACAUAGAAAUGCAGAUUUAUGAGAUCUCGAGAAAGCAGCACUUGUAUCAAUUCCUUCCCCGGAAGAAUCUAAUAACUGCCAGGUUCUCUUGUUGACAUAGGGAGGAUCAUCAUUUGGAUUUAAUCCAAACACUAAGUUUUACAGAUGAGCCUAAGGCACUGCUAGUGACAUAUUAUCCCAUGUCUCCUCAUAGUGAUAUUCCCCUUUUCUGAAUAGGCAUAGAUGAAUCUUGAGGCAGAUGUGCAUUAAGAAUCCCUGUUUCUGUGUUUUACUUGGACUAUGCAGCUACAAUUCAGGCAACUAGAAAAGGGCUAAAUAGCAUUCGCUGCCCUGCUGGGGCCCCUGCUCUGCCCCCAGUAGCUGCCAAUGGUUUGCCCUGGGGCAGCUGGACAGAAAGUGUACCUCAUGCCACAAGAACCGGGCGCUUGGGGCUCCUGCCAGGCAAGUCAGCUGAGAUAAUCCGCUGCCUGUGACCUCAUUAAAACAGCCUGAUUGGGGCUGCUAAUCACAUAAAUAAAGAAUUAAAUCAUUGCAUUAACCUUCUGCAGGGAAACCUGCCCUGGCAACACUGACAGAAUUAGAUCUAUUAAUUAUUUACAGGGUCAUUUGAUAGAAAUGUAUAUAGAUGGCAGAUUAUGAGCACUUGAAGUUAGCCAUAAAUUAUUGCUCUGAUAAGAAGUUUUUAAUAUUUUCUCUUAAUGUCCUGAAUUAAAAGCCACCUUGCUUUUAUCUCCGUAAGACAGUAGCGGCACACAUCAUUUACUGCAGGUAGAUCAAACAAAUGCCAUGACCCAACAGCAAGGAUUUGUGCACUCCUCUCUUUUUAUGAGGCUCUUUGUUUUGUUAGCAGUCCCUCUUGUGCAAGCAGGAUUUCUGUAGCUAAAUUUGGGGCCAGUUCCUCACCCACUGUAACUACUCAGAGCUUCUGUGGUGGCAAAGGUGCUCGGAGGACCUGAGCUUUGCCUUGCCAUCACUGUGUGGCUAAUCUGGCUCACCAGCUAUCUCCAGCAUUUCCCACUGCCGCAGAGCACUCAGAUGCUUUCUGCAGUGGCUCUCUAGUGUUAAAAGUAUUCAAUUUCAUUAAAUGCUGCGUUGCAUUUCCCUUCUAUCCAAGGAUUGCUUGGAAAAAAUGCUCUUGAAUCAAAUGGGAUGAUAAGUUCAUUAUUUUACUGAUUCUACUGGGCUUGCAGGAAUGACAAUGGCACUAGAUAGGCUUGUUUGCUGACCAGAAUUUGAAUGUGUAUCUGCAGCUAGCACACAAAAGAUUUGGGCAUGUGGAGUGGAGGGAGGGUGGGGAGACUGAAGGGAAAUCUGUCAUUAUUUAUGGAAAUAUCCAGUAUUCAUGGAGCCAUCUGCUGUGAAUUAUUCAAGUCUGAGAAGUGUAAUAAAAUGAGGAAGCAUAAUGUAAAAAGAAAAAAAUAAAAUAAAAAACCUGGCAUCGCUCAGAAACCUGAAUGCGUAACCUCAGAAUCUCUCUUUUUAAAGAUGGUUUGUAAAUCCUCUGCCAGAUUGAGAGAUAAAGAUAGAUGAUAUUUCUCAGGUUUCUCUCCUCACCCUUCUUGGAGCAAUUCAUUCCAUUUGUUCAUUUUCAGCUUUUUAAUUAUUGAUCAUGUCUUUUCUUUUUAACUUCCUCACUGUUUGGGGCUGAGACAAGGGGGUGUUAAGAAAAAGGUGUCUGGGAGACUGCUUAGACCUUGAAGCAUUGAGAAGGUCUUUCUUGUAGCCGUCAUUUUCUCAGAUAUCGAAGCAUCUGCUUUGUUGCCAGAAUUCGCAUUAAUAUUAAGAAAUUUUAUUAUGAGUGGGACCCUCAUAAUGCUCCUCUGGGCCCAGUCACAGGCAGAGGUUCGCCUGCUGUCCUGUACUGUGUCCUUUCUGAUUGUUCCCAUUCCUUAUUCAUUGGUUUGAUCAUGUUCUUCUUUACACAGUCAGUACAGACAGACUGUGGGGAAACUGAGGCAGAGCAACACAGUGAUCUACUGACAACACUGGGGACAGGCUCUACUUUUCUUGAUUAUUUCUCUGGGAACAGAGACCUGCUGCAAGUCCUUUUCUUGGGAGCAGCUGGAAAUCCCUGUGAAAAGUUCUGUCUAUCUUGCUUCUCUUAUUUUGGUUAGCUUUUUAGUGGUAUGGCAUAUUACUAGCAGGUGCUGUGGUGUACUUGUGUGCAUUUGUCUUGCUGUACUUCCUUUCAUCUCUAUCACUUUGUUCUCUGGCUACUUGUGGCAUGCUAGAGUAGAAGUUGAUCUUCAGCUGCCGUGGUGUUUGCAGUCCGUGGCUAUGCAUUUAGAAAUCUCCCUACUAUUGCUCUGACUUUCUAAAAUACUUCCUUGCUUUAUAAUUUGCCAUUAGUUACAUUGGUUUAUCUUGAAGCUGUGCAAUAGUCCUGUUCUCCAUACAGCUUUUCUUUCUUCAUCCAGUAUUCCAACUCCAUGCCUUAAAAAUUCCAUCUCCAGCCUAGCAAGCACAUAAAAAUGUGCUGAAGCACCACAGAUUUUGAUUCUUCCCUCUUCUGCAGGCUUGCUUCAGUUCUCGAGGAGCUUGUGGUUACCUCAGCUGAAAUGAUCUCAGAGGACUUGUUCCAGCUACAUUCAUGCUGAGUAGGAUCUCAUUCAGCAAACAGCCUCUCAGUAAUCAAUAUGCCUGCGGGGGAGGAAAUACAGAGUGCCAGAGAACCCAGCAAGGCAGUAUAAGUCACAGCCACGAAGAGCAGCUGGGGACAGGCAAAGCAAGGCAAGGCCCAGCGCUGUGAGUACCAGGCCACCCUGCUGCCCAGCACUGUGGAUAUUAGAGUGACAACGUUACAGUACUAUUGCUCGUCAUUAUUUCCUAGGUCACAGAGUACCAGAUUGCUCAUGCAGAACACCAUUUCACUUGCUGGGUUCUCCUGGGCAGCAUCAGGAUUUAUUUGUUGUUUUGUGGAAGAGAUGCUCACUAGACCUCAGGAUCAUGCACUACUUUGCAAGCUGGCUAUCAAGAAUUGGUAAAAAGUGCUCUGAAAAAUCCUGGAUGCGUCUCAUGACCGUGUCAGAGAAACAAAGCUGUAAAUCCCACUCCUGUAUCUGCAAACAUCUGAAUUCCAAAUAACAGAUGUAUUCAUUAAGUGUCUAGCCUAUGAAAAAAGAAAUCCAAUGCUUUUUUUUUUUUUUGUGAUGAACUUGGUCUGCAAUAAGGACCACUGUAAAGUAAAUGACAAAGCCAUUGACCUGGAGCACAUCACUAAACACGAGCUGAAUUACUGCUUUCUGUCGGACACCGAAUGAUUGUCACUGGGACUACAUCCAGCUACCCGUGAUGGAUCUCCAGGAAGCCUGACACAGGAACUUUUGCAUUAGUCAAAAUGAAGUGCUCUGUUGAAGGCAUUACUUUCAGGAGACUGAAGGGAAAGGAGGAAUUCAAUGUCAUUUCACUUCCUGAAGUACAGUCUGGAGCUCACCUGAAGAACUGCAAGUGUUAGAUGCUCCCACAGAGCAGAGGCAUACGCUACUGGAAUAGGCCUCCUUGUGCUGGCAAGCAGAUUUUCUAGAUUUUUUUUAGAAUUUUCUAGAUGCCUUAGUUCUGGCCUGUGGAAUAAAAAAACGGAGAGGGAUACAAGAAAGAAUGAAGGAGCAGCACAGCUCACUAUUGUUCAUAUUGCUGAAGUUACUCAUCAUCCUUCAAGGUGCUUCACACUAACCACCAGUAGAUGAGAAGCUUCAGCUCACUGUAUACAGAAUCAUCUCCAGGACAGUAGCAUCAGCAGGAUUUGCCUCAUCCAGCUGCCACUGAAUCAGACACUCAUCGUACAGGAGAAAAAACUGGGACUGACUCGGAAAGACCUUCCAAUUUCCCCUGUGUUUUAGUCCAAGAGAACUCUAUUACCAUUAAUGUGGGAGAAAUGAGACCUUGUACUGAAUGAGUUCAAGGACCUCUGCAGAAUGAGGCAGAUACUGAGCUCUGAAGAAGUGCAGCGUGGGGAUUGAUUCUAGAUACCUUUUUGCAUCCCACAAACAGCAUCUUGGAUUUGCCAACCAGUGUAAGACACUGACCACUGCUAUCAGACAGCUGUCACCUGCUGAGCUGAUUCCAGCCUGCAGCUCUUGCCCCACAAGAAUACAUGAAACAUCGCUUCUGGCAGCAAGUUUGGGGCAUCUAUCUUUCUGCACUGAGGAAAGAAACCACACAGUGGGAUCAGGUAACCAUAAACUACAACUGCUACAGAUGUUCUCCUUCCACUGAAUAUGACUGCACAUAUCGUUCUGACUGUGGCUGCACUGGAAAUGUGGUUCACAACAUAUUCCUAAUGGAAACAUUCACUCAUCAAGCAAAAACGGUUCAUCCCAAAACAGCAGCAUUUCAGUGCUGCUGUCCUACUCUGAUGCUUCAUCAGAGUAAAAGCUGGAGCACCUGUGUUCUCUGUGGGGGUGGGUUUCCUUUGGGGCUGUCACUUCACAUCUGAGAGUAAAACCUUCCACGUAUUUAAGGAAGCGAGGAGGGUAUGUAUGCAUUUCAGAUAGAUGCAGUCAUUCAUUGAGACUAAGACAAGAAUAGCUGUGGUCAGAGGAUGCACAGGAAGCUUGUGGGACACGAACACCACUGGCAAAAGAAAAAUCAACAGGGAAGUGGUUCUGCAGCCUGAGAAGCACUGGCAAGGCAUGCUGACCUGCACACAUCCUCUGCCCACUGCAUACAGGCAGCUCGCUGCCAGCACAUGGCCACAAUAGCGCUCCAGAAGCAGCAGCUACUCACUGCCACAGCUUCCUGGCUAUUACAGUGACAUUAUUAAUCAUUUCAGGACUUCAUAAUGUUUUGACGGACAGAUAGCAUGAGGUUGGAUCUAAUAACAUCUGUUACCUCUAUUCAAGUUUUGCAUUAUUAAAUCAGAUCAAAACUGGCAGAAUCUCCCCUUUAGCAGAUCUGAUAUUCCUGGGGACAGUCAAAACUGUCCAAAAGGAGCUAAUGUUUAUUCACCCUUUGCAAACAAAUACCAAAAUCCAUUUGGAGGUCGCUGGAGAGGACAGCGACGUUUUCCUUUGUAAAAUCAAUGUAAUUACUGAAAAUCCUACAACAGCAAAAAAAAGAACAAGCGAACCAAAGCUUGCCGUGAGGAUAAGGGCCUAACCUCUCUGCUGGCAUAAAGCAACUUCGGUCUGAGGAGUUCAGAAGGAAAGCUGUGCUCAAGAGAGAACUUGAUUUUGUCUAUUCAUAUUGAUUUGCAUCAUCUGAAGAUCUACCCCUAUAUCCCUAUAAGAUUAGGAAUGCAUGGUGCUGUGAAGUGAACUGUAUAAUUCAAUAUUUUAUCUUUCCUUCAGGCAGGCAGGCAGGAAGUAUGCUCCAAGGUAAGAACUAAUCAGUAGAGUUGAGAGAAUAAUUUACAGUGGAAUAAUUUACUCAAUGAAUUUAGCUUCUUAUCUGCUCAGAGACUUCGCAGCUCUGGAAAGCAGAAGACAUAAUUGCAGGGUCUCUAUUGCUCACAGUAUCUCAGGCCGAUGGCUGCAUGUCAGGCUUGGCUGUGUAGGGCUGAUUAAUGCCAGGGCCUUUCCUCCCUGACAGGGACUGCAAUUUCCUAACCAGAAGGAACUGAAGAAACCUGAAGCACCUACACCUUUCCCAUGCAGACUUGGAUCAGCUUUACUUUAGCCUUAGCUUCUUGUUGCAGAAAGUCAUGUUGGCAACAAUGCUUCAUAGGCUCAUAGAAUCACAGAAUCAUUACAGUUGGAAAAUGACCUCUCAGAUCAUCCAGUCCAAACUCUAACCCAUCCCCACCAUGCCCACUGAUCUUGUCCUUCAGUACAUCUCCACAGUUCUUUAACCCCUCCAGGUACAGUAACUCCACCAUCUCUGUGGGUCUGUUGGCACACAGAGGAGAAUAUCAAAUGCUGACAGGCAGCAGCUAAGCAGGUGAUCAAAGGGUCUUCCCAGUACAAGCUGUACACUGGAGCAUGUGUGUAAGAAAUGAAAUGACUUUUUUUUCCCAGUCUUUAUAUGACUCUCAUGGAGAGCAAAAUGAGAAAAAAAAAAUUACAUGUGUCUUAUCACACUGCAAGGAUUAUCUGUCCCCUCUGAGAUCACCUCCGCCUGUCACGUACACAUUUUUACAAGAAUUAAAACACUAUUACAGCCGUAGAGCACAGAUACUGUUUUGUAGCUUCCUAAGAGCCAUCACAUGUGGGAAACAAGCACCAAUAGCCAGCAGACACUGAGUGCAUCAGCAUUAGCUUCUCUGGGAAGAAGUAGCAUUUCUAGUGGGGCAGCCAGCACAGAAACCCCACAAACCACUGGGAAAUACUGAUGUCUGCGCCAGAGAGCACGACUCCCAGGAAAAGGAACACACAUUGGCACCUGGCCCCAACAGGGCUGCCAGGAAGGAAGCCUCAACAACUUUCCCGUCUAGACAUACCAUCACCACGUGAGCCAUCUCCUGCCGUCAUCCCCUGGGGGCUUCCAGCAGACAUGCCGGGAAGCGGCUUUCCCCGAUAACAGUCUUUGGAGGAGGCGGCUUCAGCAACUCCUUGCACCAUGGCAAAAACCCAAAAAGAUUUUAAUCAUUUGGGCAGAGCCCCAGGAGAGUGUGGGGUAAAAGCCAGCUGGUUAUACAGGCAGAGGGAAAGGCAGAGAUACAAGGAGCUGGGAUAAAAGCAGAGCAAGGCCAACUGGGUGACUACCAGUUUGCAGGGAUCCUGCACCCAAGGGUUUGUUCCCUCUGUGUUUGCUCCCUAUUGUGUUCCCUCUUCUGCAGGGGAAGACUGACUUAGAUUCAAAGACAGCAAAUUUAGAAUCAAAAAUAGCUCUGCUCCUUCUGCCUUUGGCAUCUGACUUUUUAUCUGAGUAUUUGAUGCUGUUUGUUUUGACUCAGAAUACUAGGUUUCCUCCUCAGGAACUGGGGCCGACAGACCUAUUUAAUCUUUCAUAUUGGCCACAGUGAUAACUUCUUAUUAAAUAUUUCAUGCUGUUGUACUGAUAAAGAGCAUAAGACAAAACUUGGCAUGAAUACGAUUCCAAAGAGCAUCUGCUUAAAAAUAAAACACUUGGAAGAAUCAGGAAGGAAAUAAGUAGCCAUGCGGCUGGAAAAAAAUGAUUCAAGGUAAUCAGGUCAAGCCUAUAAUGAAGUGUUUAUAAACAACAGUAAAAACACUGAAUGUUUCUACUGUGCAUCACCUCGUUAUUUCACAAGAGCCUUCCCAAUAUCCAUACUUGGUGGUCUAUUGCUGUUCCGUGGUGCCAGUGUUUAUAGGAAACUUAUGUACAAGCAGCUCCCCUCUGGCAAGGGGAGUUCUAACAAGGAGUCCUAAAGAGCACAGUGGCAGCCAGCACAGUCAGCGAGAUAACAACCUCAGGUGCUGGCGAGGUUCCCACAAGCUGACUGGGCUUUGGGUUGCUGUACUGUACAGAGUGGACCUAUAGAAUCAUUAAGUCUGGAAAAGAUCGCUAAGAUCGUCCAGUCCAACCAUCAACCCACCCCCACCAUGCCCACUGACCAUGUCCCUCAGUGCCACAUCUCAUGGUUGUUGAACACCUUCAGGGAUGGUGACUGCACCACCUUCCUGGGCAGCCUGUGCCAGUGCAUCACCAUUCUGUCUGAAAAGGAAUGUUCCCUAACAGCCAAGCUGAACACCCCCUGACACAACUUCAGGUCAUGCCUUGCUGGCUGAGCACCAAAAGGAGAUGCAAAACAGCUUGCUGCUCUGCUAUUCAGGGGCCUUGUAGAGACCUCACCUCAGGAGCCUAGCAAAAGAUUCUUUCAUAUGCAACACAGUGACUUUUGUCAUUUGGGUAUUGGCAGCUUAUACAUUCAUUCCAGGGACCUGAAUGUGGCAGUCCCUUUCUCAGACACUACAUGACAAUGUUAAAUGCUGACAUCCCACCAGUAUUUAUGUUUCUCAUAAUGUAGGCCAGUGUGUGCCCUACAAGGGCCUGCAAAGGGCUAAGCACAGCCAGCACCUGGGGUGCCAAGCACCCCUCGCACCGUGAGCUGUGAUCCCCGGUGUGCAACAAACACAGCUGCUGUGUUAAAAAAAAUAAAUAACUUCAGACAGAGAGCUUAGAGACCUCAUACUCACUGGCAAAAAAAAAAAAAAUGAAAGCAGAGAAAAAGCAACCACUAAGCAAUUAAUUGAAAAAUUAUUGGCAGGCCAGGCCUCUGCCUUUAAUGAUAACUGAUAAUAGGGCCAGUCAAUGCUAUGCAGUGGGAUAAUACAAACACACCCUCUAGAGUGAAAGCGCAAAACGAGACAUACUAUUAUCAUAAAUAGAUUAAUUAAAUAGAAAGAGAGCAUUAAAGAACAGGAGAUUAUUAGCGUGCAGGCAAUAGCCUAUUACAGCAGCACAGCUGAUGAAUGCAGGUACCAGGAAUACAGCACACAAACCUGGAACCAGAGGGAAGAAAAAUGUUUGGGCAGCUGCAAGGCAACAACCUCCUCCUGCAGCUCCUCACAGUGUCUGUGUGGGAGCUGCUGGCUUCAGGGCUGUGUGGCUCAGUCAAGAGCAAUCUGUGGGCUGGAACCUGAAGGGCACAGGAAAGACAUGGCCAAAACGUGGCCAGGCUCUUCCACCUAUCUGACAGAAAGCUUCUCAGCUUGUGUUGAGAAAUGACUGAAGCACGCAGCGGGGAGUUAAUAAAGUUUCAGAGAGAAACACUUUGAAAAAUGAGCCAGUGUCACAGUUUAUCACUAAUAAGAGUUUUCCUGGUGAAAAUAAUGCUGCUGUUCCCAACUGCAAUUUGUUUGUCAACUGUACGUUUCCCAUCAGUAAAAACCUUUGUUAUUCAGAAAUAUCGAUCAAAGUUCCAUGUUGGGUGGUGUACAACAAGUGAAGUGUAAAUACAGAAUUUCCUAGAAGAAACUUCGGGAAUGCUGUGUGCACAGCUGAUGUGACAGUAAUCAUAGAAUCAUAGCAUUGUUAAGGCCAGAAAAGAUCUCUAAAGUCACCCAGCCCAAUCAUCAACCCAUCCCCACCAUGCCC